rnacentral:lncRNA from 1 species
GGCCUCUGGAGCCAGUCUUCCCAAGGUGAAAUCCUAACUUUGCCACUUACUAGCCAUGUGAACUUGGGCAAGUGACCUAAUCCUCUGCAUUUCAUCUCUAAAUUGGGGAGAAUAGAAGCAUCUACUUCAUGUAGUAGCCAGGAUUAGAAGAGAUGGGGCCACUUGAGGGAAAAGACCUACCCAAGGGCACAUAAUCUGUACAUGAGAGAGAGCCAGAUGUAACAGACUGAGUACUGGACUUGGGGUUAAACAGACUGUGAAUCUUUCCACCCCAUUGGCAAGUUACCUUGGACAAGUUACUUUAAUCUCCCUGAGCCUCAAUCUGCUCAUCUUUAAGAUGGAAGUCUUAAUAAUCUCCUCAUAGGGGAUUAAACAAGAACAUGAGCACACCUUUUCUAACACAGUGUCUGAGAUGAGUAGAUGUUCAAAAUAGGGGUUCAUUUGCUUCUUUGCUCUUUGGCUCCCACCUUUUUUUCAACUGCCCCAAAUCUCUUUCUGCUCACCUUUUCUUGUUCCAUGGGGUCUUUACACCACCGUGUUAGCAUGUGUUUCUGCUACAUGGUUACUUCUUUUCUAGAAGCAAGUGAGUGAGGGAGGGCCCAGUGGGCAGCUCAGAACUCAGUAAUAAAACCACACAGAAUCCAUCUCAAACAAAACGGCAGAUUGGCAAGAGUGACCUGCAUGUAGUUUUUGAUUUCAUUUACAGUAUGCAAGGACUGUGGGAGGACAACUGGAGGGGAGUCAGGAAAUGGGGGUUCAAGUCCAUGGAGUGGCUAUGUGAUGCUGGGCUGGCCCCUUUUCCUCUCUGGGCCUCAGUUUCCCCAUGUGACAAUAAGGGGUCAGGCCAGGGAAUAUUCUGACACUCUGAAUUUUUAAUUUUAUUCUAAUUAUAUGUUUCAGGGAGGAAUAACUGGGCCCUGGAUAGAAUGUGAUGAAUGUAUAUUCUUAAUGAGAAGUGGAAAUAAUUUGUGGUUGAGAGCUGUGCCUCAGAUCAGAGUGACAGGAUACAUGGCUAGGCUAUAUUUUCCAGCAGAUUAAGAGCUGCGGCCCAAGACUCUGAAAUAUGAAGAAAAAAGGAGAAGAUGACAGCAUAUCUUUUUAAAGAAAUAUUUUCCAGCCAAAUGGUGUAGCAGAGGACUUCCAGGAAUUUGUUCUUGUUCUGUAUCAAAGGUGAAGAGUUCGUAGCCUUCAAGGAAACAAGAAACCAUGGGAUGGAGUGAAGGAAGGUGGCCUGGAACCAGCUGCUGAGCCUCUCUGAGCCCCAGUUUCCUCGUCUCUAAAAUGGGGCUGAUCUCCUCUCCCUCAGACUGUUGUUGCAGGAAUUAAAACAGGUGUUGAGUGGGAAAGCAUCAGUCCCAUAGCAAAUGGCCCCUGAGUAGUAGGAUCUGAGUUCUGGUUCUGGUCCUGCUGGGGUAUGGCUGGUUGAGAGGUCAAAGAGCUUUUUACAUGCUGCACCAAUACUGGGUCUAGCUGCAGCUUGGCUGGGUCGCAGAGGCUGAAGAGGGAGCUAAGCCUGGAGAGCUGGUAGAGAUGGGGUCUCACCAUGUUGAACAGGCUGGUCUGGAACUCCUGGCCUCAAGUGAUCCACCCACCUCAGCCUCCCAAAGUGCUGGGAUUACAGGUGUGAGCCACUGGGCCCGGCCUUAUUUUCAUAUUUCUAAAAUGGUAAUAAUAGUGUCUGUCUGCAUUGGAGGGGUUUGGGGUGUGUGUGUGUCUGUGUGUGUAUGUGUGUGUGUGUGUGUGCAUGUAUGUGUUUAU